AGCGAACGCUGGCGGCAGGCUUAACACAUGCAAGUCGAGCGGGCCCUUCGGGGUCAGCGGCAGACGGGUGAGUAACACGUGGGAACGUACCCUUUGGUUCGGAAUAACGCUGGGAAACUAGCGCUAAUACCGGAUACGCCCCUUCGGGGAAAGGCUUGCUGCCGAAGGAUCGGCCCGCGUCUGAUUAGCUAGUUGGUGGGGUAAUGGCCUACCAAGGGGUCGAUCGGUAGCUGGUCUGAGGGGAUGAGAAGCCACACUGGGACGAGGACACGGCCCAGACUCCUGCGGGAGGCAGCAGUGGGGAAUAUUGGACAAUGGGCGCAAGCCUGAUCCAGCCAUGCCGCGUGAGUGAUGAAGGCCUUAGGGUUGUAAAGCUCUUUUGUCCGGGACGAUAAUGACGGUACCGGAAGAAUAAGCCCCGGCUAACUUCGCG
rnacentral:rRNA from 1 species